rnacentral:tRNA from 1 species
GCUCCCGUAGCUCAGGGGAUAGAGCGCCGGCCUCCGGAGCCGGGUGCGCAGGUUCGAAUCCUGCCGGGAGCGCAA